CUUGCUUCUCGGUCUUUUGGCUAAGAUCAUGUGUAGUAUCUUAUUCUUAUCAGUUUAAUAUCUGACACAUCAUCGAUCAGAGGACUUUAUAUUAAAUGGAUUUUUGGGCCUGGGUUUUGGAUUUUUU
rnacentral:snRNA from 1 species